UUCAACAAAUACUUGUUGAGCACCUAUUAUA
rnacentral:piRNA from 1 species